UCACGCAGACGCUCUCCUAAGUACCAGCCUAGGAGGAGGAAAAGAUAAACUUAGACAUGUUGAAAGUGGGACUGGAAGGAGACAUGAGGAACCUGAAAAACAAAGACGUCCAAGCGUCUAUAGAAAACCAAAGACAUUUCUUCCCCUUGCAUAUGCGACUAAAGCAUUAUGAGGAUAAGAAGAGUCAAUUUCCCUCACUAUGAAUUUAAUUGAGGACCAGAACAACAUCAGCCUGCUGGAGAGAAAUCUCAUCUGUCUGCUUGGCCAGGAGGAUGCUAGACUAGACAGCCCUUUGGCUCAUUCAGCUUAGUUCUUCAUACGUUUGCAAAAGUGCAGACAAAGACCACCAUUUCUGGAGAGCUGGCAACCCAUGUGAUCUUCACUGUUCG